GGUCCAGACUUUGAUUAUGGCUCAGGAUGAACGCUAGCUACAGGCUUAACACAUGCAAGUCGAGGGGAAACGACAUCGAAAGCUUGCUUUUGAUGGGCGUCGACCGGCGCACGGGUGAGUAACGCGUAUCCAACCUGCCCACCACUUGGGGAUAACCUUGCGAAAGUAAGACUAAUACCCAAUGAUAUCUCUAGAAGACAUCUGAAAGAGAUUAAAGAUUUAUCGGUGAUGGAUGGGGAUGCGUCUGAUUAGCUUGUUGGCGGGGUAACGGCCCACCAAGGCAACGAUCAGUAGGGGUUCUGAGAGGAAGGUCCCCCACAUUAGAACUGAGACACGGUCCAAACUCCUACGGGAGGCAGCAGUGAGGAAUAUUGGUCAAUGGACGAGAGUCUGAACCAGCCAAGUAGCGUGCAGGAUGACGGCCCUAUGGGUUGUAAACUGCUUUUAUAAGGGAAUAAAGUGAGUCUCGUGAGACUUUUUGCAUGUACCUUAUGGAUAAGGACCGGCUAAUUCCGUGCCAGCAGCCGCGGUAAUACGGAAGGUCCGGGCGUUAUCCGGAUUUAUUGGGUUUAAAGGGAGCGUAGGCCGGAGAUUAAGCGUGUUGUGAAAUGUAGACGCUCAACGUCUGCACUGCAGCGCGAACUGGUUUCCUUGAGUACGCACAAAGUGGGCGGAAUUCGUGGUGUAGCGGUGAAAUGCUUAGAUAUCACGAAGAACUCCGAUUGCGAAGGCAGCUCACUGGAGCGCAACUGACGCUGAAGCUCGAAGGUGCGGGUAUCGAACAGGAUUAGAUACCCUGGUAGUCCGCACGGUAAACGAUGGAUGCCCGCUGUUGGUCUGAAUAGGUCAGCGGCCAAGCGAAAGCAUUAAGCAUCCCACCUGGGGAGUACGCCGGCAACGGUGCAACUCAA
rnacentral:rRNA from 1 species